GCGUCCGUAGCCGGCCACACAAGUCCAUCGGGAAAUCCGCCAGCCUAACUGGCGGGCGUCCGGUGGAAACUGUGUGGCUUGGGAUCGGAAGACCCAACGGGUACGUCUUGGGUAGGAGUGAAAUCCCGUAAUCCUGGACGGACCACCGAUAGCGAAAGCACGUUGGGAAGACGAAUCCGACGGUGAGGGACGAAAGCCAGGGUCUCGAACCGGAUUAGAUACCCGGGUAGUCCUGGCCGUAAACGAUGUCUGCUAGGUGUGACUCCCACUACGAGUGGGUGUUGUGCCGUAGGGAAGCCGCUAAGCAGACCGCCUGGGAAGUACGUCCGCAAGGAUGAAACUUAAAGGAAUUGGCGGGGGAGCACUACAACCGGAGGAGCCUGCGGUUUAAUUGGACUCAACGCCGGACAUCUCACCAGCAUCGACUGUGGUAAUGACGAUCAGGCUGAUGACCUUAUCCGGGCCUCAGAGAGGAGGUGCAUGGCCGCCGUCAGCUCGUACCGUGAGGCGUCCUGUUAAGUCAGGCAACGAGCGAGACCCGCACUCCUACUUGCCAGCAGUACCGCGAGGUAGCUGGGGACAGUAGGAGGACCGCCGUGGCUAACACGGAGGAAGGAACGGGCAACGGUAGGUCAGUAUGCCCCGAAUGUGCUGGGCAACACGCGGGCUACAAUGGUCAGGACAAAGGGUUCCAACUCCGAAAGGAGACGGUAAUCUCAGAAACCUGAUCGUAGUUCGGAUUGUGGGCUGCAACUCGCCCACAUGAAGCUGGAUUCGGUAGU
rnacentral:rRNA from 1 species